CGCGUAGGCGGCUUGUUAAGUCGAAUGUGAAAUCCCCGGGCUCAACCUGGGAACUGCAUCCGAUACUGGCUGGCUAGAGUGUGGUAGAGGGAAGUGGAAUUCCAGGUGUAGCGGUGAAAUGCGUAGAUAUCUGGAGGAACAUCAGUGGCGAAGGCGGCUUCCUGGACCAACACUGACGCUGAGGUGCGAAAGCGUGGGGAGCAAACA
rnacentral:rRNA from 1 species